GACAGAGGGUGCAAACGUUGCUCGGAAUCACUGGGCGUAAAGGGCGCGUAGGCGGGAAUGUAAGUCGGGCGUGAAAUCCCCUAGGCUCAACCUAGGAACUGCACUCGAAACUGCGUUUCUUGAGUAUCGGAGAGGAAAGCGGAAUUCCUGGUGUAGAGGUGAAAUUCGUAGAUAUCAGGAGGAACACCAGUGGCGGAAGGCGGCUUUCUGGACGGUAACUGGACGCU
rnacentral:rRNA from 1 species